AUCGUAAAAMUCUGUUGUUAGAGAAGAACAAGGACGUUAGUAAMUGAACGUCCCCUGACGGUAUCUAACCAGAAARMCACGGCUAAMUACGUGCCASCASMCGCGGUAAUACGUAGGUGGCAAGCGUUGUCCGGAUUUAUUGGGCGUAAAGCGAGCGCAGGCGGUUUYUUAAGUCUGAUGUGAAARCYCCCGGCUCAWCCGGGGAGGGUCAUUGGAAACUGGGAGACUUGAGUGCAGAAGAGGAGAGKGGAAUUCCAUGUGUAGCGGWGAAAUGCGUAGAUAUAUGGAGGAACACCAGUGGCGAAGGCGSCUCUCUGGUCUGUAACUGACGCUGAGGCUCGAAAGCGUGGGGAGCAAACAGGAUUAGAUAYCCUGGUAGUCCACGCCGUAAACGAUGAGUGCUAAGUGUUGGA
rnacentral:rRNA from 1 species